rnacentral:rRNA from 1 species
UAGUAAUACGUGAAGCUGACCGGUACUAAUAAGCCGAUGACUUGAUAACA